GUCUACGAUCAAGCUACCCUGAACAAACCUGAUCCUGUCUGAUCUCAGAAGCUAAGCAGGGCAGGGCCUGGUUAGUACUGGAUGGGAGACCACCUAGGAAGACCAGGUGCUAUAGGCA
rnacentral:rRNA from 1 species